AUCAGAUGAGUGGUCAUGGCAAAUGAGAUUUCUGAUUAUCACUGUUGCGGUCAAUCGCCUCGUCGUCCGAUCGCCGGGGAACGUGCACCUGCAAAAACGAGAAGUCCACACUGACCGGAGGCGGCUCCGGCGGGGACCCUCCGACGGUCAAGUCAGAGAGGUGACUGGGCAACAGUGAAAUGAAGACAGAGAGCUCAAUCGAGGGAGAGAGGGAGAGAGGAGCGAGCCUGUGGUUUUGGAGUCGAGAAGUGGGGGGAG
rnacentral:lncRNA from 1 species